rnacentral:rRNA from 1 species
GACUCUCGGCAACGGAUAUCUCGGCUCUCGCAUCGAUGAAGAACGUAGCGAAAUGCGAUACUUGGUGUGAAUUGCAGAAUCCCGUGAACCAUCGAGUCUUUGAACGCAAGUUGCGCCCGAAGCCAUCCGGUUGAGGGCACGUCUGCCUGGGCGUCA